UAAGUUAUUCUUAAGUUAAGCAAAUAUAGGGAACCUUUAGCAAGAUAUUUAAAUAUUAAACUAAG